rnacentral:rRNA from 1 species
UACGUAGGGGGCAAGCGUUGUCCGGAAUUAUUGGGCGUAAAGGGCACGCAGGCGGUCUUCUAAGUCUGAUGUGAAAUCCCACGGCUUAACCGUGGUAGGUCAUUGGAAACUGGAGGACUUGAGUACAGAAGAGGAGAGUGGAAUUCCACGUGGAGCGGUGAAAUGCGUAGAGAUGUGGAGGAACACCAGUGGCGAAGGCGACUCUCUGGUCUGUAACUGACGCUGAGGUGCGAAAGCGUGGGUAGCGAACAGG